AGUUUCCUGGUCAAAGACCACCCUUCCUUCGAAUUCUGUUCCCCCAUGUGGACACUUGAAAUGACCUCAGGUCCAGUAACUCUGUAUUGAAUAGUGAGAACCUGGCUAUGUGAGGAGAAAAAGGGAGUCAAAUAUGAGGUCAAAGUAGUAAUAGUGAAACUAGGUAAAAGAAUAUAGUGGAGUUUAUCAUGAAAAAGAGAGGUUGAGACUAGAAGCUUCAGGAGGAAAGCUAAGUUGUUUUGCAAGGAAAUGAAUGGUUUGGGUGUCUUUUUACACAGGGCACUUCAUACGACAGCAAUCCCUGCCACCAGGGCUCACAAAGUAAUUCAGGCAGCAGUAGCAGUGCUUGUGGUCAGAGUUCAUCCAACUGUGCAGGCAGCAAGACUAUCGUUGCCCGGGAUACAGCUCAUGCUCUAAGCAGAAGCAGUUACAAUGGACAGAACGAAUCCUCUAGCACAAACAGCAUUAGUGCCAAUGUCGAGGGUGGAGCAUUUAUCUCAUUCAACAAUGCUUCCAAUAGCCAGGGAUUACCUUCAGGAGGAAACUAGUUUGGUGGAGAUGGCUCAUAUUCCUCAGAAGGUGGUUACAGAAGCUCUGCUGGGACACAGUCCAGCCCUGGCCUUUUGCUACUAUUCAGUGUUUUGAGUGCCUUUGCCAUCUCUUCUUCAGUUGUGCCCAAGUGAACAUCUGAAGAUGUGACUGGAGACCACAAAGCGUAUUCUGUAAUAACAGAUUAAUUUUCUGUACAAAAUUCUAGUCAACGUUGAAUAUAUAAUUUGCUGGUUUGUUGUAAUGUCAUUAUGUAUGGUUAAUAUGCCACGCUUUUGAUUAGUUCUACCUUUUUUAGUUUACAGUAUAUGCUGGUUUAUUUUUCAGUAUUUUAGGCAUCAUUUGAAAAGGAGAUAUUGUGCCCUAACUAUAUUAAUUUUUAUUUCUAACUGAUGUGAUGAAUACUUGAUUUGAAUCUGAUCUAAUUGUGAAUCCAGCCUCUCAGAUAUCUGGAACCACAUGGCUAUUAACCUGGGGGGGGAGGGGGGAUUGCAGAUUGUCAUGUGUGAAAGCUGAAGGCUCUCACUCGUCAUUACAUAAAGCCAAUCCUGUAAUUUGUAUAAAAAGGCCUCAGUGGAACAGAAAAGCAGUGUUGGACCAUUACUCUUAAUCUAUUAUAGUAAUUAAACUAGAACUAAGUGUCAAUCUUGCAAUGCACAAAUUUCUUAUUGCAGUGAAACUUUUGGAUAUUCCACCUCUUCCAUAAAAGGCCAUUGAAGGGAGACCUUCUGAUACUUAAAAUAGAACACCGUGUGUCUAGACCAGUGGUUUUUAACCUUUUUUCAUUUGCAGACCUCUAAAAAAGAUUUCAAACUGGAGGUGUAGACCCUUUGGAAAUCUUAGACAUAGUAUGUGGACCACAGUUUGAAAACCACAGAUCUGGACACACUCCACCUAAUGCCUUAGUAGGGAGUGUAGCCCGGAAGAAGCUAUGGAAGGCUAAUAACCUUGGAACUGGUGAAAACCCACCCACUCUGGGAAUGUUUGAGAAUUACUCUGGCUACUGAAACUGCUAGUAUCUCUGUAUCAGCUCUCUUUCAGCAAGUAUUUUGCCUAAACUACAAGACCUGAUUUAUUGUCAAAUUUAAUCUCAAGAAUGAUAUUGAGAUCCAUAAAAUAGUAUUGAUGUGCAGCAGACAUAGUCUGAGAGAAACAUCAUCUUUGACUGGCAAGGAUUUCAAGGAAACAAAGUUUUACAUAUAGCAUCUUUUAGCAGUGUUUUCCCUUGGAGCUCUGUUCAGAAGUGUUGCCUUUGAAAGGCUGGAUAUGGAAUCUGGGAAGAUGCAGAUUACACCCAGAAAAUGCAAAUGCUAGUAGUUUUAAAAUGUAACCUGUUAACAUACUCACUUCCAAGCAAUAAAUUCCUAGCAGCAGGUAAAUGGUGUUUAAUAAAUUACAUCUUUAUUGUACUGUCUCUAACAGAUGUGUACAACUGUCCUAGUUCCAACAGCAUGGUAUGUUUUAAAAUAGGUUGAAUGUUAACCACAUGCACCUAAAACACUUUAAAAGAAAUUAAUCCAAGACCUAUAGAAGUUGUACGUAGUCUUAAAGCACUUAAAACUAUAUCCACACUGUAAACCUCCUAAGUAGGUACAUGGAUGAAAUCCUGUCCCCAUUGAAGUUGAUGGGAAUUUUGCCAUUGACUUCAAUAGGGCCAGGAUUUCACCCAUUGCUGUUUUUUCCCCCUAUGUUCUGUACAGAGCACACUGUCAGCAUUCCAUAAAUACUUAAUAUUAUCAAACCAAAUCCUGAAGUCAUUACUCACUCAAAAUGAGUUUUGCUUGAAUAAGAACUCCUAGAUUUGACCCAUAGUGCAUAUCUUUAAAACAGAUUUAUAUAUACAAUAAAAUAGUUAUCUAAAAUACAA